rnacentral:rRNA from 1 species
UACGUAGGGUGCAAGCGUUGUUCGGAAUUACUGGGCGUAAAGGGCGCGUAGGCGGUGCUCUAAGUUAGAUGUGAAAACUCUGGGCUCAACCCAGAGCCUGCAUCUAAAACUGGAGUGCUAGAGUUCUGGAGGGGGUAGCGGAAUUCCUGGUGUAGCGGUGAAAUGCGUAGAUAUCAGGAGGAACACCGGUGGCGAAGGCGGCUACCUGGACACAUAUUGACGCUGAGGUGCGAAAGCGUGGGGAGCAAACAGG